UUUAUUAAAUGCAUAAGAUAUAACUAAACUUGAUUUCAAAUAGAAUAAUCGAUGAAAUUAGCAAGACUAAUUAUGCUAUCAUUUUGUGGGAAGGCAAGUAGAUAGCUUCGGGGCGAUACGUAACCUAAUGUUGAAAUUAAGGAUAUUCUCACAUCCAAGUAGGCCCGAAGGAAAAUAAAAGUCCAAGAAAAUGAUUAUAUGUAAUGACUCUCAAGGAUAGACAGCUAAAGACUGGAGGAGGAGACAUUGGGAAAGCUUUCACUUUCAGCUUUUCUCAGCGGAAAUUGGGCUCUGAAAUCGGUAAGCAAAAACAAGUUGCCAAUAAAACCCUCUUGAGUCUCGGGUUUGAAAACCUAUACUAUUUCUAGUAUUUUAAGACCAGGCAGCAAAUCCUAUGCAUUUUGACCCUCCCCACCCUACAUUGACUUGCCUCUUCUUCAAACCCCUACUAGGCUUCUAAACAAACAACCAAAAAGUUGAUAUGAUAUUAGGACCGGCCCCAAAAAAGAGCAUAAGAAAAGGAGGGUAAUCCCCAUCUCCAGUCACCUCUCACAGCGAGCUCCUGCUUAAAGUACUGCUUCAUCACCUCCAGCUUUUGAAGGAGAGACAAAAGACAGCUCUAGUUUAUGUUCCAUUUCCAUGCCAUGAAUUGGGUUACAAGGAAGAAAGAAAUGGGGGUUCUAAGAAGAGAGCUGGCUUGCUUAUAUCUUCUUCUUCUGUUGAUAAUGUCACCGUUAGAGACUCCAUGUUAUGCUGUUGGGUAUGGAAAGUUUAGUAGCUUCAGAGGUGGUUCUAGUUCUGAGCUGAAGAACAAUCCUGCCAAGUCUAAUAAUAUCGGUGGCCUGAAAGGAAACGCAGAUAAAGAAGGUAAUGAAAUUUUUGGUGCUGAGAAGAGGAAAGUCUAUACAGGACCAAAUCCUCUACACAACAGAUAAGUUAUUAUUACAGCUAGUCGUCACCAAGCUUGAAUUCCGUUUCAGUUAUAAGAUUUUUUUGUUCUGUUUUCUUUCUUCUGCUUUCCUUCCUUUUCCGAACAUUUUGAAGCUUUUGCUGGAAAUCUCCACAGUAAAUGUUUCAAGUAGUCUUACAGAUGUAUAUGAGAGUUUAGGGUAUGAUAUUUUGGUUGAGGAAAUAUACUUAUAUUUGUUAAAAUUAUAAAAGAAGAAAUUAAUACUCCUUGCAAAUAUUACUCAUGAAGCAUCAAUGGAGUUGUUGGUGUUGUAAAUUCUGACCUGCUUUCCAGAUUUGCUGCGACUUGGCUUGUGGCCAUUAGUGCUGUUUGUUGCUUCUGCUGAAAAGGGAAAGGAACCGUGUUGCGGUGGUCUAAUACUUUACUUUACACUGUUUCAGAUUACUAGGUAUCUUAGAUUUAGCACGUCUUAAAAGAGAAAUUUGUGUGCGCUCUAGGCACUAAACAAUACAGGGUUUGCUCGUGCAUGACCAUGCACAUGUAUGCAAGUGUAUGUAUGUAUGUAUGUAUGUAUGUAUGUAUGUAUAAUGUAUGCAUGCACGAAAGACCUGUGCUCCGGGACUUGGCACGGGAUGGUGGAUCCUAAUGUACAGUACAAACAUUAAUGACUCAUGACAUGCCUGCACAAAUAGCCAUUUCUUUGAAUUAUUUCAUCUUGGCUGGAUCAAACGCAGAGGAAAUGGCAGGACUGUGAGCCUUAAAUUCCUUUGGAAUUUUUGUCAGAGAUAGUUAAUCAUAGAGUACAAGUGGUAGGAUAGAAACGUAUACAACCAUCCACUCACCUUCAAUUUCUGUCUUGAGUAAUUAUGUAGCAGACCCCACCUAGUUUUGGUGUUGAUUCACCCUAUGCCAGCCUUAUGUCCACUAUGUAAUGGAGAUUUUACCCUUUUGCAAACAUACACCACCUUUCUUCCUGCGGGCUACAGCAUUCUUGCUUCCCUGCAUAGUGUUACAAAAAUCUCUCCCGUUUCUUGAAUUUUUUUUCUAAGAAAAUCUAACCCAUUUCCAUUCCUGUUUAGCUUA